UGCAGCUAAGAGAUACAAUGCCUCUCACAGA
rnacentral:piRNA from 1 species